rnacentral:rRNA from 1 species
UACGAGGGGGGCGAGCGUUGUUCGGAAUUAUUGGGCGUAAAGGGUGCGUAGGCGGUUCCGCAAGUCCUGUGUGAAAUCUUCGGGCUCAACUCGAAGUCUGCACGGGAAACUGCGGGGCUUGAGUGUGGGAGAGGUGAGUGGAAUUCCCGGUGUAGCGGUGAAAUGCGUGGAUAUCGGGAGGAACACCUGUGGCGAAAGCGGCUCACUGGACCUAACUGACGCUGAUGCACGAAAGCUGGGGGAGCAAACAGG